GCCCCCGUUGUCUAAUGGUUAUGACGUCAGACUUCUACGAAGACUUAUCUGGAGGUUGCGGGUUCGAAUCCCGCCGGGGGUU